rnacentral:snRNA from 1 species
AUGCUUGCUUUGGCAGUACAUAUACUAAAAUUGGAAUGAUACAGAGAUGAUUAGCAUGGCUCCAUACAAGGAAAACAUGCAUAUUCAUGAAGUAUUCCAUACUUUU